GGAUUGUGGAUCAGUGGCAGAGUGCUUGCCUCACAUGUGUGAGGCACUGGGUUCAAUCCUCAGCAUCA
rnacentral:tRNA from 1 species